UACGGAGGGUGCAAGCGUUAUCCGGAAUCACUGGGUUUAAAGGGUGCGUAGGCGGAUUUUCAAGUCAGAGGUGAAAGCUUCCCGCUCAACGGGAAAAUGGCCUUUGAUACUGUUAAUCUUGAGUACAGUUGAGGUGGGCGGAAUGUGUGGUGUAGCGGUGAAAUGCUUAGAUAUCAACACAGAACACCGAUUGCGAAGGCAGCUCACUAAACUGUUACUGACGCUGAGGCACGAAAGCGUGGGGAGCAAACAGG
rnacentral:rRNA from 1 species